rnacentral:rRNA from 1 species
AUUGAACGCUGGCGGCAUGCCUUACACAUGCAAGUCGAACGGUAACAGGUCUUCGGAUGCUGACGAGUGGCGACCGGGUGAGUAAUACAUCGGAACGUGCCUAGUAGUGGGGGAUAACUACUCGAAAGAGUGGCUAAUACCGCCUGAGAUCUACGGAUGAAACCAGGGGAUCGCAAGACCUUGCGUGAUUAGAGCGGCCGAUGGCAGAUCAGGGAGUUGGUGGGAUAAAAGCUUACCAAGCCGACGAACUGUAGCUGGUCUGAGAGGACGAUCAGCCACACUGGGACUGAGACACGGCCCAGACUCCUACGGGAGGCAGCAGUGGGGAAUUUUGGACAAUGGGCGCAAGCCUGAUCCAGCAAUGCCGCGUGCAGGAUGAAGGCCUUCGGGUUGUAAACUGCUUUUGUACGGAACGAAAAGCCCUGGGUUAAUACCCUGGGGUCAUGACGGUACCGUAAGAAUAAGCACCGGCUAACUACGUGCCAGCCGCCGCAGUAAAAC